rnacentral:rRNA from 1 species
AGUGAACGCUGGCGGCAGGCCUAACACAUGCAAGUCGAACGGCAGCACAGUAAGAGCUUGCUCUUACGGGCGGCGAGUGGCCGCCGGGUGAGGCAUCCCUCGGAAUCUACUUUUUCGUGGGGGAUCACGUCGGGAAACUUACGUUAAUAUCGCAUACGACCUACGGGUGAAAGCAGGGGAUCUUCGUACCUUGCGCGCUUGCAUGAGCCGAUGUCGGAUUAGCUAGUUGGCGGGGUAAAGGCCCACCAAGGCGACGAUCCGUAGCUGGUCUGAGAGGAGGAUCAGCCACACGGGAAGUGAGACACGGACCGGACACCGACGGGAAGUAGCAGGGGGGGAUAUUGGACAGUGGGCGCAGGCCUGAACGAGCCAUAGCGCGUGGGUGAAGAAGGCCUGCGGGUUGUAAAGCCGGGUGGAUGGGAAAGAAAAGCAGCAGGUUAAUACGCCGCUGUUCUGGAGGUACCCAAAGAAUAAGCACCGGCUAACUUCGUG